rnacentral:rRNA from 1 species
UACAGAGGGUGCAAGCGUUGUUCGGAAUUAUUGGGCGUAAAGGGCGCGUAGGCGGUUCGGCAAGUCUCUAGUGAAAUCUCAGGGCUCAACUCUGAGUCUGCUGGGGAAACUGCCGGGCUUGAGUGUGGGAGAGGAGAGUGGAAUUCCCGGUGUAGCGGUGAAAUGCGUGGAUAUCGGGAGGAACACCUGUGGCGAAAGCGGCUCUCUGGACCACAACUGACGCUGAGGCGCGAAAGCUAGGGGAGCAAACAGG